rnacentral:rRNA from 1 species
AACGAACGCUGGCGGCAGGCCUAACACAUGCAAGUCGAACGCAUCGCAAGAUGAGUGGCGCACGGGUGAGUAACACGUGAGAAUGUAUCCUUUGGUUCGGAAUAACGUUUGGAAACGAACGCUAAUACCGGAUGAGCCCUACGGGGGAAAGAUUUAUCGCCAAAGGAGCAGCCCGCGUCUGAUUAGGUAGUUGGUGGGGUAUGGCCUACCAAGCCGACGAUCAGUAGCUGGUCUGAGAGGAUGAUCAGCCACACUGGGACUGAGACACGGCCCAGACUCCUACGGGAGGCAGCAGUGGGGAAUAUUGGACAAUGGGCGCAAGCCUGAUCCAGCCAUGCCGCGUGAGUGAUGAAGGCCUUCGGGUUGUAAAGCUCUUUCGCACACGACGAUGAUGACGGUAGUGUGAGAAGAAGCCCGGGCUAACUUCGUGCCAGCAGCCGCGGUAAUAC